rnacentral:tRNA from 1 species
GCCUGGGUGGCUCAGUCGGUUGAACAUCUGAUUUCAGCUCAGGUCACGAUCUCCCGGUUUGGGGGUUCAAACCCCGCAUCAGGCU